rnacentral:misc_RNA from 1 species
GCUUAUUGUUUGGUUGCCAUUGGAGGCUCUGAAAGUUUCUACAGCACAUUCGAAGCUGAGUUAGCGGAUGUUAUCCCUGUAGUUAAAACUUCCAUUGCAGGCACUAGGAUUAUUGGCCGUCUUUGUGCUGGAAACAAAAAUGGGCUUCUGUUGCCCCACAACACCACCGACCAAGAACUUCAACAUUUGAGAAACAGUCUACCUGAUAGUGUUGUGGUUCAACGAAUUGAAGAGAGAUUAUCUGCCUUGGGAAAUUGUAUAGCCUGCAAUGACCACGUUGCUCUAACACAUACAGAUCUUGACAAGGAAACAGAGGAAAUGAUUGCAGAUGUUC